rnacentral:rRNA from 1 species
AGUGAACGCUGGCGGUAGGCCUAACACAUGCAAGUCGAACGGCAGCACAGUAAGAGCUUGCUCUUACGGGUGGCGAGUGGCGGACGGGUGAGGAGUACAUCGGAAUCUACUUUUUCGUGGGGGAUAACGUAGGGAAACUUACGCUAAUACCGCAUACGACCUACGGGUGAAAGCAGGGGAUCUUCGGGCCUUGCGCGGUUGAAUGAGCCGAUGUCGGAUUAGCUAGUUGGCGGGGUAAAGGCCCACCAAGUCGACGAUCCGUAGCUGGUCUGAGAGGAUGAUCAGCCACACGGGAGCUGAGACACGGUCCAGACUCCUACGGGAGGCAGCAGUGGGGAAUAGUGGACAAUGGGCGCAAGCCUGAUACAGCCAUACCGCGUGGGUGAAGAAGGCCUUCGGGUUGUAAAGCCCGUUUGUGGGGAAAGAAAAGCAGCAGGUUAAUACCCCGCUGUUCUGACGGUACCCAAAGAAUAAGCACCGGCUAACUUCGUG